GUUGUCCUUGCAAAUUGCUACCUUAAACAGUAACCGUAAGAGCGGCAUACCCACUAUCCACGGAACGUAUAACAUAAGAAUCCUUGAAAAUUAUAAGGAUGCUGGCGCAAAAUAUGUCUUCACAUUGUAUCGUUCAAAAGAGUGCCUUCACAUAAAUGUGUUAAAUUGCAUAUGCUUUCAACGAGAUGCAUUGACCGCAUUUAUUCUAUGAAAGGGCCACAACUUGCUGAACUUUAAAAGCGGCGUUCAGUCGUCUCUGGUGAACACCGGGCAGCAAUGGGACUUUCCCAACGCGUGGCCUCCGUUAUAGACGCCGUCAUAACCGCACUAGAACGUAUCAACGACAAAAGCCGGGAAGCUGAGUUGAAUCUGGCUGACCAAUGGUUGAAGAGCAACUACGUCGGCUGGCAGCGAAAGAAAAAAAAGAAAAAUACGUUGUGACAGACUACGGAAUCGCGUGGAAGCGGUGGUGAAUACGACGUCCAGGUAUAUCCAGGCAUCCUGUUUGCUUCAUUCUAAGUUGUGAAAUACAGAAAGCUGUCAAUGAGGAAGGGUUCGGCUGGACGAACGGGGUGGUACUUGACCUGCUCACGCGCUACGGAAAACAGCUGACCUACCACGCUGACCACGUAGCGAACUCGGCCAUAUGGAUAGUGACGUCAUCAAUCGCCUUUGCACUGUGUGGGAUAAAUUCACGCGAUAAUAUAGAUAAUGCUAUGUUAGUGUACUUGGUUCUUGAAUUUAUCCGACUAGUUACACAAAGGUUUACACGGUAUAGCAGUCCGCUAUGUACAUGAAGUAGCAGUGUAAAGUCGUGUCGUCAUGUAAAGCAAAGGUUUACAUGACACCCAGAGUUUCCUUCUAUAAAAUCACUUAGUCGUAUCAUGAUUGGCAUAGGGGUUCUCAAUAUGUAAGUUAAACAUAGCCGCCAUCAAUGUUUUUGGUAUGUUGCUAUAUUUAAAAAAUUAUUGAAGUUUGAACAAAUCUUUCUGUGGUCUAGUUGAAAGUGUAUAAUUUAGAAUGCUUAAUAAAUUUGAAUCGAG